AAAAGUAGGGGCGCCACCGCUCCUCCAUUUUGGAGGGGAGGAAGGUCCGGACACCUUCUCCCCCCAGAUGUACAUCUGGAGGGAGGGAACGCUCCGGGUAACACCCGGCCACCGUGAGGUGAGGGGUGCGAACAGAGACGCCUUGCGGGGUAACUCGCAAGGGUCCCGCCAUUACAUAUAAUGGCGGGGUAGUCCAGCUAUAAGGCAAUUUUUGCCGAAGGCUGGGGUGAAACGGCUAAAUCCCGGCGGGGUGCAAGUGCAACAGAAAUUGGAGGUUUAUCUCCAAUUUCUGUAAGCACGCUUGAGCCAGGGAGAAAUCUCUGGCCCAGACAGAUGGUGGCGUAGAAACAGAAUCCGGCCUACUACCUACUUUUGGGC
rnacentral:RNase_P_RNA from 1 species